rnacentral:rRNA from 1 species
GACGAACGCUGGCGGCGUGCUUAACACAUGCAAGUCGAACGGAAAGGCCCUGCUUUUGUGGGGUGCUCGAGUGGCGAACAGGUGAGUAACACGUGAGUAACCUGCCCUUGACUUUGGGAUAACUUCAGGAAACUGGGGCUAAUACCGGAUAGGAGCUCCUGCUGCAUGGUGGGGGUUGGAAAGUUUCGGCGGUUGGGGAUGGACUCGCGGCUUAUCAGCUUGUUGGUGGGGUAGUGGCUUACCAAGGCUUUGACGGGUAGCCGGCCUGAGAGGGUGACCGGCCACAUUGGGACUGAGAUACGGCCCAGACUCCUACGGGAGGCAGCAGUGGGGAAUAUUGCACAAUGGGCGGAAGCCUGAUGCAGCAAAGCCGCGUGCGGGAUGACGGCCUUCGGGUUGUAAACCGCUUUCGCCUGUGACGAAGCGUGAGUGACGGUAAUGGGUAAAGAAGCACCGGCUAACUACGUG